UUUUGGGUCAGGUGCUAUUGUGAGUGCUACUGAUGGCAUCAUUUCUGCCUUUCGUAUUGGACUGGCAUAUGUCCUGCGCCAGACAGAAAGGGCAUUGCCCAAACACACUGCCAGCAGCCUGUCCUGGCUUCCCAAGGUCCCACUGACAGUGUCAAGCUGUGCAGCGGGAGAUUCCAGAAGAGCAUAUUCGUCUGCAAGGCAAUGCUGCCUGCCAAGGGACGGCUGGUGGCAUCACUCUGCCCUCCUCACGCCUCUCCUUUCCCUGCAGUAGGUCGAGGUCUCUCAAGCCAAGUGUCAGAAUCACAAAAUCACAGAUCGAGAGGAAUUGAAAGGGACCUCUGGGCCAUCUCUAAUUAAUCUCUUCUGAGAGGUGAAGCGGCGAUGGCUCCGCGCUGUCGGCCAGGGCGUGCUACCACCUAGUGGCCACGGGCGACAGAGCCAAGCAGAGCGGGGCACAGGCUGCAGGACACACAGGGGCAGCCCCGCACCUUUGGGCCGUAUUUCUUUCUCCUUGGAGCAUCGCCGUUGCAGACAGAACGCAGCCCCGGCCUGUCAGAUGGGAGCCCCGCAGCCCCGCGCUGCCGUGAUUCCGAGCUGCAAUGAAACGUGCACCUGAGGCAGAGGCACUGAUGAAUCCUGGCGUUUCGUUUCUUUGCCUCCUCCCGAUUCCAUGGAGAUCUAUCGACUUGCCAGCUCGAGGAUCCACAGUGCCCAUCAUCCACAGCACGGCUGGCAGAGCUGGCGGCAGCGCUUUGUGCUAGGGAUGCUCACCAGAGAGUCAGAUGGAUGUGGCACUGAGUUAAGGCCUAUGAAAUCACAGCAUGGGGACCAGAAGGGUGCACCCUGGCCAUUCAGAGCCACCUGCUCCCAUAGGGUACCCCGGGCUGGUGCAGUCAGACAACACUGUGAACAUCUUAGCAGACACAACUGCUGCAGGCAACCUGCUUUAACACGGCUUCGGCUAUGCAGACGGGAAACAACAUCACCAGAAGCCAUCAGAGGUGAGAAGAGGAAGAAGAAAGGGCCAAUGCACUCCUUGGCAGGAGCUUAUUUACCAAACAGCUGGUGGAUGUGUGCCUAAUUUACACAGGGUAAGAAAAAUAAAGGCGCCUGCU